AAAAAGGGUACUCACUCUACUUGAAUACUCAUAGUGCACUGUUGGCUGCACAUUGUGCGGACGACAGUGAGGUAUGGAUAUCAAGAUCAUACCUAGUACACAAUUUUUGGAACCAGGGGCUGUUAUACAUUGAAGACGCCUCU